UACGAAGGGGGCUAGCGUUGCUCGGAAUCACUGGGCGUAAGGGUGCGUAGGCGGGUCUUUAAGUCAGGGGUGAAAUCCUGGAGCUCAACUCCCAGAACUGUCCUUUGAUACUGGGGAUCUCGAGUUCCGGGAGAGGUGAGUGGAACUGCGAGUGUAGAGGUGAAAAUUCGUAGAUAUUCGCAAGAACACCAGUGGCGAAGGCGGCUCACUGGCCCGGUACUGACGCUGAGGUGCGAAAGCGUGGGGAGCAAACGG
rnacentral:rRNA from 1 species